rnacentral:piRNA from 1 species
UAUUUGCGGAGAGCUAUUGCCUAUCGGCCU